UCCUCGUUAGUAUAGUAGGGUCAGUAUCCCCGCCUGUCACGCGGGAGACCGGGGUUCAAUUCCCCGACCGGGGGA
rnacentral:tRNA from 1 species